rnacentral:lncRNA from 1 species
UGUUCCCCGGCUAGGGCUCCGCCUUCGGGGACCUAGGUGAGGACAGGCAUUUCCUGCCCAAAUGUUGCAUUUCCCAAGACCACCCUGGCCCACCACGCCCCCAUCCUGGGCCUAUAAAAACCCAAGACCCUGGCGGGAAGACACAGAAGUGGUUGGGCGUCGUGAGGAACGCAUCGGCGGCAGAACACUCAAGCGGCUGGUUGUUGAGAGCACGCCAGCUGAAGAGCACCCCUGCACACUGGCAGGCCAUCCACAGGUGUCAGAAACUCAGCUCAGCUGGAAGAAACUUGAUGUACCAGGUAUCAGAGUAGCAAGUAAAGCCACAAGCCAAAAAUGAAAGAGAAUCUUUUAAGUGCUUAUCGUGAUGGUGUAAGUAAUUGUCCAAAAGAAACGCCGAUUCCUUCUGUUCCAUUUUUACCUGUGGAUUGUGGAUUGAAAUAACCAUUGGACCAUGAGGAGAGACUCUGAAGAGAGGCUAGUGAUAUGUGAUAUAAUACUCUUUUGUGACGUUGGACCAUGGCAGUGAGCCGCAGCUCCCAGUCAGCAAUGCGAUCCCAAGAAUAAACAACCGAUUCUUGACAGUGUCCUAUGUUGCCAGUCGAUUUUGUUCAACAGUAGGUACAUCUUUUGACUCUAUUUAGUGAUGUACUUAUUUUCAUCUGAAUUCACUGUGGUCCAGUCCAAACUCGUUGGCUACUUUAAAUAGUGGAAGUCUGGUGCAAGAUGCUCUACCCAUAGAGGCAAGUACACCCCACUCCCAAAUUAAAAAGAUUGACCUUAGCCAAACAUAACACGAGAUGGGGGUUCUGCUAUGCUGCCCAGACUGUUUUCAAAUUCCUGGCCUGAAGUGAUCCUCCUGCCUUGGCCUUCCAAAGCACUGGGAUUACAGGUGUGAGCCACCAUUCCCAGUCUUAAUAUUAAGUAUUUAUGGGAUGCUUCUUGGUCUUAUCGGCAUAACCAUUAUUAAAUAUUAAUUAUACUUUUGUAGGUUGAAUUAUUAGAAAUUUGGCCUAUUU